rnacentral:rRNA from 1 species
AUACGUAGGUGGCAAGCGUUAUCCGGAUUUACUGGGUGUAAAGGGCGUGUAGGCGGGACUGCAAGUCAGAUGUGAAAUGCCAGGGCUUAACCCUGGAGCUGCAUUUGAAACUGCUGUUCUUGAGUAUCGGAGAGGCAGGCGGAAUUCCUAGUGUAGCGGUGAAAUGCGUAGAUAUUAGGAGGAACACCAGUGGCGAAGGCGGCCUGCUGGACGACAACUGACGCCGAUGCGCGAAAGCGUGGGGAGC